GAUGAAGAACGCAGCGAAAUGCGAUAAGUAGUGUGAAUUGCAGAAUUCAGUGAAUCAUCGAAUCUUUGAACGCACAUUGCGCCCGCCAGCAUUCUGGCGGGCAUGCCUGUUCGAGCGUCAUUUCAACCCUCGACCUCGCUUUGGGGAAGUCGGCGUUGGGGACCGGCAGCACACCGCCGGCCCUGAAAUGGAGUGGCGGCCCGUCCGCGGCGACCUCUGCGUAGUAAACCAACUCGCACCGGAACCCCGACGUGGCCACGCCGUAAAACACCCAACUUCUGAACGUUGACCUCGAAUCAGGUAGGACUACCCGCUGAACUUAAGCAUAUCAAUAAGCGGAGGA
rnacentral:misc_RNA from 1 species